UAGCCUUGACAUUGAUUGAACGGACCAGAGAUGGACCGGUGCCCUUCGGGGAACAUGAAAACAGGUGCUGCACGGCUGUCGUCAGCUCGUGUCGUGAGAUGUUGGGUUAAGUCCCGCAACGAGCGCAACCCUCGUCAAUAGUUGCCAGCAGGUUAAGCUGGGCACUCUAUUGAGACUGCCUUCGCAAGGAGGAGGAAGGUGAGGACGACGUCAAGUCAUCAUGGCCCUUACGGCUAGGGCUACACACGUGCUACAAUGGGGCGUACAGAGUGUUGCGAUACCGCGAGGUGGAGCUAAUCACUUAAAGCGUCUCUCAGUUCGGAUUGGAGUCUGCAACUCGACUCCAUGAAGCUGGAAUCACUAGUAAUCGUAGAUCAGCAAUGCUACGGUGAAUACGUUCCCGGGUCU
rnacentral:rRNA from 1 species